rnacentral:rRNA from 1 species
AUGCGUUACCUUGGACUCCCGCUUGCUGUUAAACGCCUCAAACGAAUCCACUUCCAGUACCUUGAGGAUAAAAUUGCAGGCAAGCUCCCUCCAUGGCAAGGAAGGCUUGUGGCCUCUGCCGGCCGUAUUGUUCUUGUUAAGGCUGUCCUAACCGCCAUUGCCAUCUAUCACCUCACGCCCCUCGACAUCCCGGUGGAGGUCCUCAAGAAAAUUGACAAUAUUCGCCGUGCAUACCUUUGGGCGGGCUCGGACAAGGUCUCUGGAGGAAAAUGUAAGGUUAACUGGGAGCUUGUCUGCAAACCUAAGGAAAAGGGUGGGCUUGGAGUGCUUAAUCUAGAAAAGCUUGCUAAGGCUCUACGGCUCCGAUGGCUUUGGUUCGAAUGGACUGAUAGGAGCAAGCCCUGGAUUGUCAUGGGGACUCCGUGUACUGAUGAGGAUCGCCACUUCUUUGCGGCUGCCACUUCGGUCACUGUUGGGAACGGACGAACUGCGCAAUUCUGGAACUCGUCGUGGCUCAAUGGCUUGCGCCCCUCUGACAUUGCACCGGACCUCUUCCAUCUUUCUCGCAAGAAAAACUCCUCAGUCCGGCAAGCCAUGGCCAACAAUCUUUGGAUCGCAAAUAUUGACGUCACCAAUGGUUUGUCCCUCGCGCAGAUUAAGCAAUUUGCUGACCUUUGGGAAAAGGUUUCAACGGUGGCCCUCGAGGAAGAAGUGGAAGACUCGAUUAUAUGGAAGUUUUCUAAGGACGGAACGUACUCAGCUUCCUCGGCUUACAAGGCGCAAUUCGAAGGCCUCACCUCCUCUGAUCUUGUCCAGUCAGUGUGGAGUGUCUGGGCUCCGCCGAGGUGCAAAUUCUUUGCUUGGCUGGUUCUUCAAAAUAGGGUCUGGACAUCAGACCGCUUGAUCCGUCGUAGGUGGCCCAACUGCGGCUAG